CAUUCUGUCAGUCAGCCCAGCAGGCUGCAGACUGCCGCCCCAAUAAAGCUUGCCUGAACGUCCAUGUGUGCCCCCCUUCUUCAGUGACCCUUACAUUCUGGUGCCAAAACCCAGGAGGCAGCGCUAUUGGGACCUGUGGGCUCACCCCACUGGGGUCCAGAACUGCACUCCCGAUGGCCCCUUCCCGGGCCUGCAGUUGCCGAACUGGGGCACACACCUCUGGGGCUUUCAGUCCUUUGCCAUUGCUGAUGCUGCAUCCAACACCAGCCUGAUUCUCUCAACAGGACCUACCCGGCUUAAACUGACCAGGAUUACAGAACAUCCUUCCCCCCACUGCUGAAACCUCACAAUAGGCUGUCAUACAUGAGGCUAAAUUUGGCCAUCAUGACCAUCGUUGCCGCUCCUAAAGAACUGGCACUCUGGGAGUUCCAUGUCCACCAAAAAUGGCAAUGUCUCUGAAAGCAUGGCUGACUGGGGCGUCACAGAGGCUCCCGUGCUGUGCCAACUUCCCAGCCAGCCCCCACUCCCCAAAAAAACUUCGUCCCUGAUCAGCAGGAAGUAGAUAUGAAAGAAGAUACCGCUGCCCCAAUUUCAUAACAAAAUAAAGGCUGGGAUGUUAGGUAUUUCAGACCCCCCACAGAGCAAGCCCCCUCCCCUGCCUUCCCCUUGCCCUACUCCGGCCACAGGGAACAGGGAACUUCCGCAUAACUAAGGCUUGACCUACCUUUGUUUGUGACUCCCUGCCUAGUUAAGGUCUUUCUGCCCCACUGGUUUCAUGGUCAGAUGUUCCAGUAAGAUAGGGGCUUCCCAAAAGCAGUGACUCCAUCCUCCCUGACCGAAACCUGCUGCUACAUACCCCAGCCCCAGUCACCCACCCCCACCAAUGGACUGGUGCUCUCCCACCUGCAAGACCCCUAUAUAAGCUUCCAGCUCAGCCCAUGCAGUUGCUGGUCUCCAUUCUGUGAGUCAGCCCAGCAGGCUGCAGACUGCCGCCCCAAUACAGCUUGCUUGAACGUCCGUGUGUGCCCCCCUUCUUUGGCAACCCUUUUACCUAAUGCUUACACAAAAAAGGUAACCUGAUGUUGACCAAUCAGUUAUUUUCCCAUUGUUGUCUCUCUGUCCCUAAUUUGCAAGAAAAGAUCUUUGAAGUGAG
rnacentral:lncRNA from 1 species